GGAGCUCCCGGCAUGCGGGGACCCGGGGCGGGGCUGCCCCUGAGGGAGGGCCCGAGGCGCCCGAGGGUCAGAGCACCCCGGGCCGCCCUGGUCGGUGACGGCCGGCGUGAACGGGGUGAAUCACGGAAUGGUCGGGGUUGGAGUGACCUGUGGAGAUCACUCGGUCCAUCCCCCUGCCUACACAAGGUCACCCAGAGCAGGUGACACGAGGAUGCGUCCAGUUUAUGCCCUUUGCUCCUUGUCCUGUCGCUGUACACCACGGAAGAGGCUGGCAUCAUCCUCUUGACAGCGUCCUGGGAGAUGUUUAUUUGUAUGGGAGUUCUGUGAGGCUUUGGUGGACUUCAUGGGCAGCCGCCCGAUGUGUCAUUCCCAUGGCUGUUCCUGGCUGGUUCGGUGGGAGUCAGAGCAUUAGGGAUCUAUUUUCCACUGACUACAAAUAUAUAAGUAAAUAUAACCCUUGAAGUUUAAUGAUUUAUAAUGUAGGGUUUUAAAUGCAUGGGGAUAAUAACACCCCAUUACACUUCUGUUGAGUCUAAUUAGUGGUAUUAGAUCCAUAAAAUUGACCCUUGUUUUACCUUGCACUGAGAUGCUAUUCCUUUCUUUUAAGUAAAUCUCCUGUUCACCUUGGUCAUCUGUAGUUUAUUCAGAAUCAAUCCCAAACUUAGAGGGUUUGCAUUUACUGUCUCAAAUAAAAGUGAGUAAGAUC